rnacentral:rRNA from 1 species
GACGAACGCUGGCGGCGUGCCUAAUACAUGCAAGUUGAGCGCUGAAGGUUGGUACUUGUACCAACUGGAUGAGCAGCGAACGGGUGAGUAACGCGUGGGGAAUCUGGCUUUGAGCGGGGGACAACAUUUGGAAACGAAUGCUAAUACCGCAUAAAAACUUUAAACACAAGUUUUAAGUUUGAAAGAUGCAAUUGCAUCACUCAAAGAUGAUCCCGCGUUGUAUUAGCUAGUUGGUGAGGUAAAGGCUCACCAAGGCGAUGAUACAUAGCCGACCUGAGAGGGUGAUCGGCCACAUUGGGACUGAGACACGGCCCAAACUCCUACGGGAGGCAGCAGUAGGGAAUCUUCGGCAAUGGACGAAAGUCUGACCGAGCAACGCCGCGUGAGUGAAGAAGGUUUUCGGAUCGUAAAACUCUGUUGGUAGAGAAGAACGUUGGUGAGAGUGGAAAGCUCAUCAAGUGACGGUAACUACCCAGAAAGGGACGGCUAACUACGUG